CGGAGAGCGACACAGCACAGGAUAAAGGACGUGAAUACAGGCGGGCCAGAGAACCCGUCGAUGAGGUCAAAGCCGCAGAUUUGGAAAGACUUCCACCAUUCAGACUUGCCAGUUUACAUCAUUGUGGGGAAAAAAAAUAUGACCAUGACAACCAUGGUUGGGGAAAUAAAGGCAGACUCAUUUCAACUUUU